GAUAAACGCUGGCGGCGUGCUUAACACAUGCAAGUCGAACGAAGUUUUUCUUUCGGGAGGAACUUAGUGGCGGACGGGUGAGUAACGCGUGGGUAACCUGCCCUGUACAGGGGGACAACAGCUGGAAACGGCUGCUAAUACCGCAUAAGCCCUUAGCACUGCAUGGUGCAUAGGGAAAAGGAGCAAUCCGGUACAGGAUGGACCCGCGUCUGAUUAGCCAGUUGGCGGGGUAACGGCCUACCAAAGCGACGAUCAGUAGCCGAUCUGAGAGGAUGUACGGCCACAUUGGGACUGAGACACGGCCCAGACUCCUACGGGAGGCAGCAGUGGGGAAUAUUGCACAAUGGAGGAAACUCUGAUGCAGCGACGCCGCGUGAGUGAAGAAGUAUUUCGGUAUGUAAAGCUCUAUCAGCAGGAAAGAAAAUGACGGUACCUGACUAAGAAGCACCGGCUAAAUACGUG
rnacentral:rRNA from 1 species